ACUUAUCACCAUCUUACCCAAAGGAAGCAAGAGAAUCUAUUAGCAUCUCACAGAGCCAGUUUAGCCGAAUUGAUUCCCUAUUGACUCUCAUCUGGACAAUCAAGUCACCAAAGUCUUACUGAGCAUCUCUUCUGGCUAGUUGCUAAGCAGUGCCAAGCAUUUGGGUGAAGGCAUGGAGAAGAUGAGCAAUUGAUUUCACAUGAUGUUAGAGGUUCUUAGGAAGAUACAACAGAGCAAGUGUGCAACAGAGUUGUGGAUGUUGGCAAAAGAAGACUUGGAAAAACGGUACUAUUAAAGAGAAAAAUUG